CUUGGGUAGAGACAGGGCCUUUGCUCUCUCCCUCCUCCAGGAAAAGCCGUGUCUUGGUCUGGGUAGCCGGGCUUGGUAGUGGUGGUGGGGCAUCUGUAGCUCUAGGUCCAGCUGGAGGCCCCACCUGGCCAGGUGUUGAGCGAGCAGGUCUGGUCCAUAGCCUUGGGGUCUGUGGGGUCUCCCAGGGUGGCCCUGAGUGGGUUGCUGGGCCCCUCCAAAGUAUUAAAUUUCUGCUGCUUCUUGUUAUAUCAGCUUUCUCAAGGCAGCCUUCAUGCUGCGAAGCUAAACUCAGACAGACUCUGGGUCUGAGGGUCUUUCUAAUUUUCCUGAAAGCUUAGCUCUGUCUGGGCACAUUCCUGAGGGUCAGCUCUACCCCCUACUUCAUGGGUCCUAAUCUGCAUCUGGGUUUGGGCAUCCUAUCUGAAAAUGUCCUGCUUUUUCUUAAUCCCUGUCUACAGCAGACCCUCUCUCUGCAGACAUCAGGGCAGUUUGUUGUGGGGGAAGAGUCAAGUGAGGAUUUCCAUGUCUGGAGGAAUCUCCUGGAGGAGCUUGUCAAAAAAUGGAGACUCUUGGGCCCAACCCCAGGGAUUCUGAUUUAGGGGGUUGGGGUGGCGCCCAGGAGUCUGCAAGUUAAAAAAUAAAUAGCCCAGGAGAUUCUGAUACAGGUGGGCGAUGGCAAACAUUUUGAGAAAUCCCAGGAGGUGGGAAGGAAGGACUACAGACAGAUGGCCUGGUUGGAAUCUUCUGGGAAUCACCUCUGGGAAUCAGUUUCCUCACUCGUAAAGUGGAGAGGAUAAUGCUUUGGCACCUGGCAUAUGAACCUGAUGCUCACUAUGCUACUCUCCUGCUCAAGAACCUGCUGUGGCUGGACUGUACAUCACGCCUAAACUGCCUCAACCUCCACUUAUAUCAACCUUCACUUCCCCCGUUCCACGGGCCCAUCCAGACACAACUCCUCACUGUGUUGGACCAUUCUGGCAGCUGCGUCUUGGAGUGACCUUUCUUUUGACCUCUGUCAUUUUCAAGACAGCCUCUCCAUGAAGCCCUCCCUGACAGCCCCAGCCCACUUGAGCUUUCUUUUCUCUUACUGGCCAGCAUCAGACACCAACUGUUUCUCGUCACCUAAUUGAGCAUGGUAGAGGAGACAUUGGAAACAGAAAAAUCCAAAGCUCAUGGCCUUGCUCUGCUCCUUCCUGGCUGUGUUAUCCUGAGCAAAGUACUUCAUCCCCCUGAGCCUCAGUUUCCCCCAAAAUAUGCAGGGGGGAAUACUCC
rnacentral:lncRNA from 1 species